UCCCUGCUAGCACCGACCACGCUGCUCCUGGUGGACCUUUGCUGCGUGAUCUGCGCUAACUCGCCUUGCCAACAUCUGCGUCUGGUGCAUGCAACGGCCCAUCUCGCCGGUCCUUUGCGUACGUCGUCUAGCCUUUGCUUCAUCAACUUCCUCGGUCAAACAUCCUUCAGACGAGUAUUUGAUCUCUCUGCUUGGUAGUCUACAGUGAUUCGGCUUUUCGACCUUCGAUCUCAUCCGAUGGAUGCUAUGUCCAUAACCCGCAUUGCCUUCCGCGUCCGGCCUGCGCCUCUUGGGUGGGCAAGACAAUCCUCCAAGUACCCCUCGUCCUGCGGCCAUGUCGUCCCUUCGUCCACAAUGAUUCACCUUCGAGUUCCUACUUCUUCCUUGCCAUUGGGGAAUGCAUCGUGCAUGGAAAGCCCAUCGCUGUGACCUGCCCUUCUGUCUACACCCCGUGUGAGGCACUCUCUCGGCGUUGCUGCUCGUCACACUCCGCUGUGACCACUAGCGGAUGAAGAGUGGGCGACGGACUGCAUCUCACUUUGAGCCUGCGAGACGUGCCCGCGAUCUUUGGAUCCACCCUGGGCUUACUAGCUGCCCAUGAUAUGCUGUGCAAUACCUUCACGUCGUGGAUCUAUAACCUAUUAUCGUACAGAGCUGUUCGAAGGAUACCCGCGAGGAUUACAGCAUCUAUCGCACAUCAGAAUGCUACACUGUUCAGCUACCAUACAGUAAAUCUAGUGUUUUGAGCAACUAGGUUAAAUACAUUGGGCCCAUAUCGUUGAUUAAGUUACGCAAUGUUGUAACGUUUGGUGUAACGUUUCACCAUCAUGCUAAUCUUUCACCACCAUACAAUCGCAGUGCGAUUGAUCGACCCAUCUACAUGUUUCUGUUAGCCAUGAGAGCCAUCCAUUCAAAUUAUGCAAUGUAUAGGUAUAUUGAUGCUCUUUUGCAUUAAGCUGCAUGGAAGGCUGACCAACUUGGUGCAGAUUUAUCUGUCAGUCUGUGCGGCAGGGAGGCUCCCUUCUGUGUGUGCACGUGUUUGCACGUGUGUUUGUUGCGUAUCUCGGGCGACACGCUCUUUCAUUUCGCCUAUUCACAACUUAACUCGGUGGCUUGUUCGACUAGGUCUUCAGGUUAUUGUGCGGACGCACUCGGCAGGUUCUUGUCCGUCCACUUAAGCAGUUCAGCUGAAGCAUCGCCAAUCGUUACGUGGCGGUGAUCAAGCCUUCACUCCUUCCAAAUCUGCUCGCUUCGGGCGUCCCAGUCGGAAGGAGUCCGGAGUAUUAGUAUAUAUCCUCCAUCGCUAACAAUUGAACAGCUCCAUCUCUCUGCUCAUGGUCCCUAGACUUCAUUUCUGAGUGCCCAUUACCUAAGUUCUUCGGUCCGUCUCAGCUGACACGUGCUUUCCAACUUGGAAACCAACUUUGCAUGCUUUGGUCUUGAUUCGCCCUGUCGGUGAACAUGUAAGAGCAUUAAUAUGCCAACAAGCACACAAUGUGAUUGGAGCGGUGUGUGGGGGCGCGCCAUAAUCACGGCAAACAGAAACUUGCAGUCUGGUGGGAGUUGUUUCGACAUGUAUGGCGCG
rnacentral:lncRNA from 1 species